rnacentral:misc_RNA from 1 species
CCCUGAAUUUGCCUCUUGGGUAUGACACAAAUGCUUAGGCCAGAUGUAUCAGAUAAUACUGAAAGUGGGCAACAAAAAGAAGGAUGGUUAAUGGAAAAAGACAUAUGCAAAUGGGAACUCCAAUUAUCCAUAUGGCCCUCCAUUCAAACCCUUUACUACUUUAUUGAGCAUUUAAGAGAAAACAAAAGCCAUAUAGUACAAUUGCUGGCUUUAAUGGGUAUCCAAAGAUUUUGCAAAAGAGCAAAGAGCAAACAUAAGAUCAGAAGCUCCACAGAUUACAACAUAAACACAAGAAAUUAAAGAAACCACAAAAUUUAAGUAUCAAAUGUAAUUGAAAUUCUAAUUUACCCCUUAAUAAUUCUCAACUCCAAAUCCCACUAGGAUCAAAAACUUAAUUAUAAUUAGCGUAAUAACUAUAUAUAUAAAAGGGUACUAAUUAAUUUAAGCUUCAAUGUCAAACCUUGGACACUUGAUGGAGCCCAUUGAUAUAUCAAUCUCAAUCAAGUUUUCUUCCUCGUUCAUCUCAUUUAGUUCUGCCAAAAGCUCCAUUAGACCAUGUUGCUUAUAGAAUGAACCUGUUGUUGUGAAAUCUGGGAAUUUCUUCUGCAGAUUAAACUUGGAUUCUUCUUCUUUAUGACCAAUGUAGUGUCCACUAGGAAGCGCAAUUUCAAUGAGACUUUCUUCAUCGGAAAUAGAUCCAUCAGAGCAAUCCGGGCUUCGAAACAUCUUGUCUUGAAAGGGCCAGUCUGCUUCAGAAUCCUGAUCGCUAGUUGAAGAACGGUAGAGGCAGCAGUCACUUUCUGAUAGUAUAACUGGAUAUGAUCUGUCUAUGAACUCAUCAAUCUGGCAGAUAUCUUCCUUUUCUCCAGUUCCUUUCUCUUCUGUGAUGGAUUCAUCUUCAGGAACUAGUUCUUUAGAUAAAAUAAUAUCUUCUUCUUGUUCUUCUUCAUCUUCUUCUUCUAUGCAAGGCGAUUCAGGCGAACUUUCUUGAUCAGUUGUGACUGAUUUCUCCAGCAGCUUUGGUUUUUGCUUAUAGAACUUGAAGAUAAGAGGGGAUAAAGUUAAUAGUGAUGUGAGAAGGAUGGAUGAUGAGAACCCACAGCCUAGAAAAGCAGCAAGAACUAAACCAAGAACAGAAAUCCAUGAUAAUGGGUUUUUGAAGAAAAAAGAAAUGGAAGGCAUUUGUUCCUGAUCAACUUUUGUGUCUCCACUUAAUUAUGUACUGUAACAACUCCUUUAUAUGAUCAAUUUAUUUGCUAGAAAAAAAGUAUAAAGAAGGUGAAUUUCUUCUUUUAUUGAAAUGCAAGAUCUAUGACAGAAUAGACUAAAGAAAAAAAAAUCUAAACUACUAUUUCAAUAAGAUCUGUUACCGGAAGUAAAAUUGAUAAAAAAAAAAUGCAGAAACUUGGCUUGUAAUGUUUGUUCUUGCUGGGACAUGAAACAAGACAAAGGGCAAAAAAAUGGAAGAUUUUGCAUGUGCAAAUUGAAGAGAGUUUGAUAGGAAUACCAAAGAAAGAAUGAACAAGAAGCUUAAAUGAGUAGUGAAUGUUGUUGUUGUGUGCUUGGAGAUUGGAGAAGAAGCAGAUAAUACCUUAACUGGUUUGCAAAGAAGAAGCAUAUGUAAAACAUUUAAGAAACCAUAUUUCAAUUUCUUCUUUCUCCUAAAAAACUAUGUGCUUUUCUCAUAUAACCCCAAUCAGAUGGUCUUCCUCUUCAAGUGAUUCUCUUGAAAACACCAAAACCCCAGGUUUUCCCCAAUUGAUUUACAGUCUCAGAGCCUGGAUAUUAGAGAAGCCAUGUGCUUACAUCUGAGCUCACCACAUGGCACUUUGCCUCAAUCUUCCACGAGAAAAACAUAAAAAAUAUUAGAAAAAGAGUACGCGAGAUAAAUAUUAUAUUAAUUUUCUCCAUCAGCCAUUCCCAUCCUCCACCCCAAGAACCCUAAAUCAAAGCUUUAAUGAAGAUGGGAAACAGGCAUUUCCCAUUAAAAUAUCUUCUCUCUCUACGUAUAUUCUGCUCAUUUCCAUCUACAGAAACUGCCUUUGAAAGGGCCAUAUUUGCAACAGCUUAAAAAAAAACACUUUUAUCUUUAGAACAGUCAAACAAUAUUCUCAUCAGUGCUUUUGCAGGAGUAUUUUCUAUGGAGGAUUUAUGAAACUCAACUCAACCCAAGAUUAUCUAACUAGUCAAAACCCAGAAACUAUUUUCUUGUUUUUCCAUACCUUUUCCAGUGGCAAUACAAAGCCUGUAAUCACAAAUAGACUGGCCAGUGUCAACUUGUCCACUGUACUAUACCACUCGUUGUAAGCUUUACAAACCCAUGUCAGAAUCGUACAGUCAAACACAAAAGCCUAGAGACGCAAAAGAAAAAACCCAAGAAUCUAUAGCAUUUUCUUUUGCAUUCAAUUAUAUAAUUUACAAUUCUGUUGCCA